UUGCACUUGAUACUAAUUGAGCUACCUAUAUAUCCUAGCCUUGUGUCAGAGGCUUGUGAUGUGUUGUGACAGCUGGGUUUUUUUUUUUAACUGAAACAUAUUGACUAUAUAUACUUGUGGGGCACAAGUGGGGUUUAAGAAAUGCAGUAUUAAAACAAAAGCCAUGAGUCUUUUAAACCCAUUAUGUAAAGACACACUCAAGGUAUAACUCAAAGGCAUAACA